GAGUCACGUCUUCAUCUUCUGGAUUUACUGCCGUCUCUCCUUCCUCCUCGGUUUAUGCUUGAUUUGAUGUUUCCUUUUUUUUGUUUUCUCACCGUUUGAUCUGCUUAUCGGUGGGCAAAUGAGGAGUCCGUUAAUUUUAAUGGGUUCAGUCAUCCAAGUGCAUAAGACAUUGCUAUGGUGAGAAAAGCUAAAGGUGGCUGCAUGCUUCAAACUUGUUCUCACAUGGUGCUAUUUAUUUUAGUCCCUAAAAGACGUGCAUAAAUUUGGCACUCCUCAUCUUUUGGCGAUCUCAUUUCUUCUUUGCAUCCAACAACCAUGAGAGCCGGUUCAAGAGCUGUGAGUAUGCUGUGUGUUCUCUUUCUUCUUCACUGUCAUCUCUGUUCUACAUCCAGUCUGCCCCUGGACGAGGAGUUGAUGAGAGGAAGUUGGCAAACCAGAAAGCUGCUGCAGCAUUGGUCAUCAAAUUCUGCUGAUCUAACCAGCACGCAUGCGCUAGCUAAGCAGCCUGAGAAGGCAGUCAGGGCAGGCUUAAGGAAGAUGCCUCCAAGCAGGUCGAAUCCAACGCAGAACUAGCUGAAGAGUUCUGCUAUACUGGGAAGGGAGAACUGAAUGAUCUCCUUCCACUGUUUUUGUACUGAGUUCAUCCAGCUUUAGAUUCUUCCCCUCUCUCUUUGCCUUGUUGACAAAGUAGACCUGUAGAUGAUGAUGUUCUUUUCUUCUCCUUUCUCUCAUUGUUUAUAGAGGCCAUGCCUCAGAAUUGUAGAACCUGUUAACUUGAAGAUGUUUUACUUUGGUAAUCUACUGUAUUAUACUACUCAUCAGUCAAUGAAGAAUUAACUUUAUUUUGCA